rnacentral:rRNA from 1 species
AUAAACGCUGGCGGCGCACAUAAGACAUGCAAGUCGAACGGAAGUCGUUGUAAUGAAAUAGAAACGGACAGAGAACUUGUUCGAAGAAAGUGGAAGUAGACUUACAACAAUGGCUUUAGUGGCGGACUGGUGAGUAACGCGUAAGGAACCUGCCUUCUAGGGGGGAAUAACAAUGAGAAAUCAUUGCUAAUACCGCAUAUGCCGAGAGAAUCACAUGGUACAAUCGGGAAAAGAGUAAUCUGCUAGAAGAUGGCCUUGCGUCUGAUUAGAUAGUUGGUGGGGUAACGGCCUACCAAGUCGACGAUCAGUAGCCGGACUGAGAGGUUGAACGGCCACAUUGGGACUGAGAUACGGCCCAGACUCCUACGGGAGGCAGCAGUCGGGAAUAUUGCGCAAUGGAGGAAACUCUGACGCAGUGACGCCGCGUAUAGGAAGAAGGUUUUCGGAUUGUAAACUAUUGUCGUUAGGGAAGAGAAAGGACAGUACCUAAGGAGGAAGCUCCGGCUAACUACGUGCCAGCAGCCGCGGUAAUACGUAGGGAGCGAGCGUUAUCCGGAAUUAUUGGGUGUAAAGGGUGCGUAGACGGGAAGAUAAGUUAGUUGUGAAAUCCCUCGGCUUAACUGAGGAACUGCAACUAAAACUGUUUUUCUUGAGUGCAGGAGAGGUAAGUGGAAUUCCUAGUGUAGCGGUGAAAUGCGUAGAUAUUAGGAGGAACACCAGUGGCGAAGGCGACUUACUGGACUGUAACUGACGUUGAGGCACGAAAGUGUGGGGAGCAAACAGGAUUAGAUACCCUGGUAGUCCACACCGUAAACGAUGAUUACUAGGUGUUGGAGGAUUGACCCCUUCAGUGCCGCAGUUAACACAAUAAGUAUUCCACCUGGGGAGUACGGCCGCAAGGUUGAAACUCAAAGGAAUUGACGGGGGCCCGCACAAGCAGUGGAGUAUGUGGUUUAAUUCGAAGCAACGCGAAGAACCUUACCAAGUCUUGACAUCCUCUUGACCGGCGUGUAACGGCGCCUUCCCUUCGGGGCAAGAGAGACAGGUGGUGCAUGGUUGUCGUCAGCUCGUGCCGUGAGGUGUUGGGUUAAGUCCCGCAACGAGCGCAACCCCUGUUCUUAGUUGCCAGCAUGUAAAGAUGGGAACUCUAAGAAGACUGCCGUAGAUAAUACGGAGGAAGGUGGGGAUGACGUCAAAUCAUCAUGCCCUUUAUGUCCUGGGCUACACACGUACUACAAUGGAUGUUACAGAGGGAAGCUAAAUAGUGAUAUGGAGCGAAACCCAAAAAGCAUCCCCAGUUCGGAUUGUAGGCUGAAAUUCGCCUACAUGAAGCCGGAAUUGCUAGUAAUGGCAGGUCAGCAUACUGCCGUGAAUACGUUCCCGGGCCUUGUACACACCGCCCGUCACACCAUGAGAGUUGGGGAUACCCGAAGCCUGUGAGCCAACAGUUAAACGAGGCAGCAGUCGAAGGUAGAAUCAAUGAUUGGGGUG